GCUUGAAAGGCAUUAGAUCUCACAUUAUUUACAUUCUCACUCCUUUUAGCUCCUUUGCUUUUUUGUUCUCUUGUUUGCAAAGAUUAAAAAUAAUGUUCCUGGCAUUUUAAUGGAACAUUACCAAAUGUACAUUCAUGUGUAUUGAUCAAAGACCAACUUUCAUUAGUGAAAAAAUCUAAUUUUUUCUAGACCAAUUAAAAGGAUAAAAUUCUCUUAUUUGAAUAAUAAGAGAAUUAAAGAGUUUAUUAAGCAAAAACAGUUGCUGAAAAAGCGUAGCAAAGACUGACUAGACUGGCUAGAAUUUCCUCUUCUUCCAGGACAGAUGGUUCUACGACAUUUUAAGCCUUCUUUGUAAUGGCCGAGUGACUGGGUUCUAGCUAGUGGAAUGUGAGUGGAAGCCUUUUACCUCAGAAAAGACACACAAUUCUGCAUGCCCUUUCCCCUUCUGUGGCAUGGUGCAAACAUGCAUGGUGACUUUGGAAGCCACAUUUUGACGAUGGUGGAGCCGCAAGAUGAAAAGAGCCUAGGUUCCUGAAUCACCAGGUGGAGGAAUAUUGCCAAUCCAUCAGUAAUGUAUUUUGUACUUUAUCAGAGCAAUAAAUAAAAUUCUCUACUUUUAGAGCCAUUAUACAUUUUUUUUUUUUAUUUUCAUUGCAGUUGUCGCCUGAACCUAUAUAGAAAUUGGUACCUUGAAAAGUGGAGGUUUCUGAACAAAAAAACCUUUAAGUUUUGCAGACUGUUCAAGAAGAAUGGUGCCAGCAUCUGCAUCAGGUGAUGGCUUCAAGUUAAAGAAAGAAGGUUCAUGGAAGAAGGUGAAGGGGAGCCAAGCUGGCUGUGUACAGAUAGCACAUAACCAGAAAGGAAGCAAGAGGUGAGUGGGGAGGUGCCAGGUUCUUUUUAACAACCAACUCGUAAUAGAGCCAGAUCUCACUCAGUGCCCCCGUACUGCACCCUAGGGAGCACAUUAAUCCAUUCAUGAGGGAUCUGUCUCCAUGACCCAGACACCUCCCAUUAGGCCCCACCUCCAACUUGAGAUUUGGAUCAGAUUUCAACAUGAGAUUUGGAGGGGUGAAAUAUCCAAACCAUACCAAUCACUUAAUACAAGUAUAAUAAGAUAUAAAGAAUCUUUUUAAUAAAAAAGAUAUGAAAGAGAUUUAAGAGAGUCAAGAGAAAGUGAGAG
rnacentral:lncRNA from 1 species